GAUGAACGCUGGCGGCGUGCCUAAUACAUGCAAGUCGAGCGAACGGACGAGAAGCUUGCUUCUCUGGUGUUAGCGGCGGACGGGUGAGUAACACGUGGAUAACCUACCUAUAAGACUGGGAUAACUUCGGGAAACCGUAGCUAAUACCGGAUAAUAUUUUGAACCGCAUGGUUCAAAAGUGAAAGACGGUCUUGCUGUCACUUAUAGAUGGAUCCGCGCUGCAUUAGCUAGUUGGUAAGGUAACGGCUUACCAAGGCAACGAUGCAUAGCCGACCUGAGAGGGUGAUCGGCCACACUGGAACUGAGACACGGUCCAGACUCCUACGGGAGGCAGCAGUAGGGAAUCUUCCGCAAUGGGCGAAAGCCUGACGGAGCAACGCCGCGUGAGUGAUGAAGGUCUUCGGAUCGUAAAACUCUGUUAUUAGGGAAGAACAUAUGUGUAAGUAACUGUGCACAUCUUGACGGUACCUAAUCAGAAAGCCACGGCUAACUACGU
rnacentral:rRNA from 1 species